UUUGCCUACGGGAGGCAGCAGUGGGGAAUAUUGGGCAAUGGACGCAAGUCUGACCCAGCAACGCCGCGUGAAGGAAGAAGGCUUUCGGGUUGUAAACUUCUUUUAAGGGGGAAGAGCAGAAGACGGUACCCCUUGAAUAAGCCACGGCUAACUACGUGCCAGCAGCCGCGGUAAUACGUAGGUGGCAAGCGUUAUCCGGAUUUACUGGGUGUAAAGGGCGUGUAGGCGGGGAAGCAAGUCAGAUGUGAAAACCACGGGCUCAACCUGUGGCCUGCAUUUGAAACUGUUUUUCUUGAGUACUGGAG
rnacentral:rRNA from 1 species